rnacentral:lncRNA from 1 species
GCUCACGGCCAGCCAUCGCGAGAAAACGUCUCUUCGAAAGCCCCAGUUCUUUGUACAGCAGCUCAAGGGAUGAGCCCCAGAUCCAGGCCAUGUGGGGGGUUCUGCUGAGAUGACUGGCCUCCAUCCGUUUUGGAAAAACAAGUUCUGAGCAGGUGUGUUGGUGUGUUGAUGGAGGAAACCGCUUCAGGAGGUGACAUUCAAAGGCAGAAGCUCUAACCACUGCACCACUUUCUGCUCACCGUCAUAUGGUCUCUCCGAGGCACUUCUCCAGCAUCCUAAAAGCCUCAUCAGGACAAAGCAGUUGGGCGCACAGGCUGAGCCCCGCGAGCCAGGAGACGCCCCAGUACCUGGGAGACUUACGGGCCGCCAUGUUCGAUCCUGGAUCUCCAGUGUCAGCAUCUCAGUCAAACUGAUUCAGCAGCAACCUGAGGACCUGCUAGUCCUGCUACAGCUUUGUGGACAACAUGAAGUGGCG